AAACGACUCUCGGCAACGGAUAUCUCGGCUCACGCAUCGAUGAAGAACGCAGCAAAAUGCGAUACUUGGUGUGAAUUGCAGAAUCCCGUGAACCAUCGAGUUUUUGAACGCAAGUUGCGCCCGAAACCAUUUGGUUGAGGGCACGUCUGCCUGGGCGUCACGC
rnacentral:rRNA from 1 species